CAGCUGUCGUUCAACAUUUUCGGUCAGUGUACAGGUCUCCUAUCCACAACUCGUUGCUGGCAUCAUGCACUGGUUGAUCAUCUUUUUAUCAAGGUCAUAAAAACCACAAUGACAAACGUAGUGAAGAAAGUAAUUUUUCACCACAACUACUCCCAUUCAGCCUAUUUUGUGUCUUGUUAACCCAAGUGAUAUGUUGGGGUCUCAUCAAAUUUAUAUCCUGACCAUGAAGCUUACGGGAAAGAUGAACAGAAUGGAGAGGAAGGAUAGAUGGGAAUACAGACUUAAAAAUAAAGAAAAACACACCAGUUUAUAAGAUUUAUAAACAGCCUAAAAAAAGUCAGAAGCAACAGCAGAUUUUGAGAGUAUUUUGCACACACAGAUGGCUGCCAAACCGAAGAACAUCUUUUAUAUUGGAACUUAUAUAUACUUUCACACAUACUUACAAAUGCAUGCAUACAUACUCAUAGGCUGAAUAUAAACAUGUAUGUGUGCAUUAAUAAGAUUUUUUUUGCAUAAAUCCUAACAAAUAUGUUAAGAUUUACAUACAUAUAUGUAUGUUUAUAUAUGCAUACAUAUGUAUGCGUGUGUGUGUGUGUGUGGUCCUUGCAGUAGAAAAUGGUGAGCUCUUAGCAUAAGUUUAGCAAACUGUAAUACCCAGAUUCAUCAAGAGAACAACACUGAAUGACAUUUCACAGCUGUUGCUAUUACCAUCCACUGAAGCAUCCUGUAACUAAAUGUCGAUUGCUGCAUAGAGCACACCGGUCUGUCUCAUCACUAUCAGUCCUCCUAUGCCCUUUGACCUGAUUUGCUUUUUUUUUUUUUUUCAUUUUGAUUUAUUAUAUUUAGCAAACUAGUUUAAACUGUGUCAUCAUCCCCACAGAAAAAUUUUAUAUAAUCCUUUCUUCUCUCUCUCUCUCUCACACACAAUUACUACUAAAUGAAAUUCAAUGUUAUUGCUGGAGAUUUUUCUGUUAUAUGGUAUUGAUAUGCAAUAAUUACAGCAACAUUGUCAUUAUUAGUAGCAAGCUAGGUAAGAACCAUAUACAUAACUAUUUAACUAUGUUCUGUUAUGAAAGAUUGCUGAUUUUUAUUCGACUUCUCUAAAAGAAUUAAACAGAAAUUACUGAA
rnacentral:lncRNA from 1 species